CCCGGAGCUGCGUGGGGAAGCCGGGCUCAGGAGCGCGGUGGAGGCCGAUGUGCUCGGUAGUUUGGUGCAAUUAGCGGUAUAACCCGCGCCAGCGCAAUCCGCGGUAAAGACAAAGCUGUAUGCAAAUCGCCCUCCCCUUCCCCAUCCCCCGCUCCCGGGGUCUGAAGCCGUUCCCCAGACUGUUUUUAAUGAUACGGUACGCGGAAUAACUUGAAAUUAAUUACAAGGUUCUUGUCUAAAAGGCAGGGGGGAGGCGGUGUCAUCCGGUGGGUUCGGCACUCGGAGCUUUGGCCACCUGCGCGUGGCAGCGGUGGCCGGGCUGUGGAGGCUGCCGCGGCCCCGCGUUUCGGGCAGCCCUGGGGCCGGAGAGUCCGGCUGCCGCCGCGGACAGCGGCCGCGGAGCCCGGCGGAGUUUGUUAAUACGACAUGUCAACGUUGCUGGCUUCAGACUGCAGCACUUUUUUACAAAACCAGACUGAAAAAAUUACCCCAAACCUCCACUUAAUGGCACAACUGAUGCGUGUGUGUUUAUCCAUCUAUAAACUUAUAUAGGGAGAUCUAGAGCAUCCCAACAGUAAUUGCAAUCGUGCAUCGAAGAGAGAUUUGGACCAGCUCUAUAAAUUAAACAGUACGUGAUGACAGCUUUGAGGCGUUUCUCUAAAGGCAUCUGAAAAGAGCACUUAUCUGAAAUGUUUUUUAGCCAUCCGAAAUAUCUUUUUAUCAAUGGAAUUGCUCAAAAAUUGGAAAACUGGCAAAUCAUUCUGUAUGUGAAGUGCAAUGCAAUCUUCCUGAUGUACAGAUGAUAAAGUGCAUAGAGCCAAGCACAGGUGGGUUUUACAGUUGGGAAAACCAGCAGGAAACCAUCUCAUGGACUCACGCGCUGCCACUCUACAAGGCUCAGGCUGCUUGUGCUGUGCCACCUCUGCCCCGGUCCUGAUGGAAACUCGUUGGAGAAAAUCAGUGUGGUUCUAAUGAUGGAGCUCAUCAUCCCUGCAGAAUUCAGUAACAAGAACUACAGCAGUAGAAAUUGCUGUCCUUAGUCUGCUGGAAAGAAGAUUUCCUAGAGCCAGGAAAUCAGGUCUGAAUGCAUGAGUUUAUAUUCUCCAGUCGAAUUCCCCACAGUGAAUCAUGUUCAUGCCCUACCAUCUUACAUCUUAGAACAAGAUCUCCAGAAUGGCGGGGGAAUUUCCAUCCUUGAAAAUUUUAAGUCUGGACUAUAAAAAAUCCUAAACAUUCUGGUUUGAACUCAGUACUGACCAUGUUUUAGGCUGCAGGUUGAACCAGAUGCCCUCCCAAGGUCCAUUCCAGACCAAAAGUUUUUGUUAUUUUACAGUGCUAGCACCUGCUCUAAAAGAAAGACAAAGACACAGGAAUUGUCAGAGAAGUGGAGUUCCUGCCAGGAUUUCUACUUUUUAUAGUAGUGCUGUUUUGCUGAUCCUGGCAAGACAGUGGAUAAAAAAUAUCGCUAUGAAUAAAAAAAUUGCUGUGAAUUAACACAAUCAAUCAAUCAAUUAAUUAAUUAGUUCUAGAACGAUGACGAGUAGAAACAAAGAUGAGACAAUAUUUGUGCAAAACAUAUGUGCCAUGUAAAGCACAAGAAAUAUUCAAUCUUCUUAGAGCUACCACAAUUUAUCAGUUUACCUAGUCAUAUAUCCAUGAUUGCAAUGCUUGUAAAAUGGCAGCGCUGAAAAUAGCUGGCCCCAGAGGGCUUUCAAGGCUAGUGAUGCCAAAGAAUUAAUUUACACUGAGAUAUGAAAUUAAGGUUUUGUUCCAAGGUGAAAGGAGAAUAAAAUAGCAUAGUGGUAAAUCUGUGUGAAAGGAGCCGGCAUCACAGCAAAGCUAUCUUCCUUUAUGAAAAACAAAAUAAGCUAAAACGGUUCAGUAAUAUCCACUAGUUCCUUGAUACAUAAUACACUGUGCAUAUGGUGAAAUGUCAAAGUGCUCUUCCAGACCCACAAAGGAAACAAAGGUACAGAAAAACCUCUUACUAUAACGCUAAUACUUCCAGGGAGUUGGCACUAAUUCUGUCACUCUAUUCAAAGUAUAAGCAUUCAGCUACAUUUUCCUUUGACUUACCAGAUGGUCCUCAUAAGAGAGAAAUAUACCUUUGAAUUAAUAGCAUACUUGCUGUUUUUGCUUAUUUCUCUAAGGUAAGGUUGCAUCAGAACCUCUAAUUGCUAUAAUACACCUGGUCUGAUAAUAAACAAAACAAGUUAGGGAUAGAAAGAGAAUAGACUUGUGGUCAUGUUAGGAGGCUUGUUACGUGCUUUGUCUGAACGCUUGAAAGGCUUCCACAGAUGUAUCACCUUUGGAAUGUUGGAUCUUCUGACCCUACCACUAUAAAAGAUCCUCUUUAUGCAGCUGAGUGAUAAUAGAGAGUUUCGUUAAUGAACACAAGGUACCAUUUUACUUUCAGGGCCAUGUACUUUAUUUAUUUAUAGGGAACUUAUUUGCACAUGUAGACUGUACUUAACUGUCACCUUGCUUAAGCUAAGAGUGUAGUAUAUCUACAAGCUGGGGACUUGUUUCCAGCAGUCUGAAGUACACCUUGUUAAUGUAUCUGUGAGCUAAAAUCUGUAUUUUGAAAAUAAAUGCCUACUUCUUCAAGAUGAUUUUGCCAUGAAGAAUUGCUGAUUGAUCUUCUGAGGACACACUGAGAACUACCCAGUAGAGGAAUAUUAAUUUAGAUGAAUUCUAAGUGCAAAUUUUUGCCUUCAUUAAAUGUCAUGACAAGCCCACUAUAUUUGAUGUUUUCAGAUUCGUAAUAUAUGGUUUUCUGAUAGGUACACUUCCAUAAAACAGAAUUUAGCUCUGUAUCAUUGAAUAGUACAGCAUUAAAAUAAAUAACAUUUCUGCUCCUUCAGGUCUUGCCUGUGAAGUGGUAUCUCUCAAAUUUUGCUACAUAUAUUUUUCCACUUUUGAUGAUAAGGAUUUUAUAUGAAAAUCAUUCAUUAUAGAAGAAUCAUCCAUUGAUUUCUGAAGUUUUUAUAUCAACCUUGAUUGCAUUAUCAGAAAAAUAAAACCUACUUUGCUUAGAGACAGUGGCGGGAAGAAUUCACAAGGACUGUUACUAUGACAUCCUUCCUGUGACUCUUGUAGUUCAAUCAUGUACCCCAGUAUAUUACUGCAUGCCAGAGAGCCAUUAAUUUCAUCAAUUGUAUUUUCAAAAUGUUUCUGCCUUUUGUUUAUUAACUCUGGUACAUGCUUUCCUGGUGCUUGGUCCAUGCACCUCAAAGAAGCUCUCACUAUCUUAGAGUGGAUGACACACAGAGGAGCUAGGGCAGUUGUUAUGGUGUCUCAGCAUCUGAAUUUGCUGCAUUUAAGUCAAGGAAUGCUUGCUGGUAACUGUUACUCUGUUAGUUUGAAGUCUGACUGGAAAAGCAAAACCUGAGCACAUAAAAUUAUUUGUCAUAUGCAGAAUAUAAUUUUCUAGAAAAGAACUAAGUGAAGGUAAAGGGAUAUUGUGUAUAAUAUAUACAAAGAUUAGAUCAGAAGGUGUCUUUUUCCAUCAGCCUGCAAGUUUUUCAUGGAACUACUAUUUUAACAAAGGAUAUUAGAAGACCAUCCUAGCCAAAGAUGCUCUUACAACCAAACUUUUUGCUUGGUUUUUAGGAGAUCUAUACCCAUGUAGUCUUUCUUUCUGAAUUUAUCUUUAAAUUUACUGUUUUAUUUGGAGACUGGACUUUAAUUAGCAUAAGGCUUUCUCCUUCCUGCAUUAAUUUAAAUGUUUCUCUUCCCAGCAUACCCCUCCAUGGCCCUUAAACAGUUAGUAAGUGACUCCCCAUUUAUACAGAGUGUAUGACUUCCCACUAUCUCUAGUAUCAGUUUGACAUUCUUAAGUCUAGAAUGUGGCUGUAGUUAUAUGUAUAUACCCACUAUAAAAAACUGUGCAGUAAAACUAAGCAUAAUUCAAAAUUUUAAACAGAAUAAUUUAAUAUAGUUUAUGAUUUGCUGCUGACUGAAACUCUACCUGUUAACAAAUAUUUUGGGAUGACAACUGAAAUGGCAUGGUUGUUACCUAAAUCAUUUUUAAAUAGCUGCCUUUAUUCUGCUAGAAUGUAAAGGUACCCUAAGGAGAAAUAUAUCUGGACCCUGUUUUUUUAAACACAGUAAUUGACUUAGGUUUUUUACUAACAUGUUAUUAAUGCCUUCAUACAGGCAAACUCUUCAGCUGCAGCCACCAAAGUACAGCAAUUUGUUAUCUGAGAAGUAAAUUAGAAAGUUUGAUUCUUUAGACAUUAUCUGGAGUAAAUAGAUGCACAACAGGAAAGACAACUGAGGGCCACAUUGCUCUGAAACUAUGUCCUUACGGAAUAAACGGCACUUAGUGUCUGCAAAUGUAUCAACAUCUGGUGCACAACAUGAAGUGGAAGAGGUGGAUCAUUUGGCUCUGCAUUGUGAACUGCCCUGGCAGCCCUUGGAAAAAUAAUAGAGAUGUUACUAAAAUGACUUGUGGCAAGGGGCCAAAUGCUGAUAUUUUUCACACAGCUGGACCUACCACUUAACGCAAUGAAGUUCGCAUGAAUUUCAGUACGGGGCAUGAAUCUAUCUAUUUAUUAUAUAUCCAUUUUAAUAAACUGUUUGACCUUGUACUUUCUAAGCUUUGAAUAAAAUCUAUUUGAUUCACUGCAAAGCUUGCUACAGACAUCUUAUGAAGUUUGGUAUUAUUCAAUGCUGUCUUCAUUUUGCUGCAUAUAAUGGUCCUAUUCUUCACCAUUCAUGAAUUAUGUAGGUCAGUACAUACGCAUGCCAGGAAAACCUUUCUAGCACCUCAUACAAUCAUGUGUUUUGUAUAUGUAAUGACAUACGUUAUUGUGAUUCUCUCAGAAAUAUUUCAGGGAAAUACUAGAAUGUUGAAAUGACUAUUUUUGUUUGUCUCCAUCUGUAUUGUCAAGUGAAUUAGUUCUCAUGAAUGCCACUGUGCAGAGAUAGACAAGGAAUAAAAUAAAAAAUGGGGAAAGGUGUGAAACCAGAUGCUUGGCCAAAAAUAGCUUUGCUAUUCAUGAAACAUACUGCUGUGUUAUGGUUUGAUUUUGCAGGUUUGUGAGUUUGUAUACUCAAGGCUAAGAAUUAUUGUUCAUUGUAAAGAUAUAAAUGCAAAAGUUAUUAGAAAUCUUCCUGUGCAAUGAUUAACUAAAUAAAGGAGAUUAGCUAAGACUCUGCCCUCA